AGAGUUUGAUCCCUGGCUCAGAUUGAACGCUAGCGGGAUGCCUUACACAUGCAAGUCGAACGGCAGCACGGACUUCGGUCUNGUGGCGAGUGGCGAACGGGUGAGUAAUGUAUCGGAACGUGCCUAGUAGCGGGGGCAGGGGAUCGCAAGACCUUGCACUAUUAGAGCGGCCGAUAUCGGAUUAGCUAGUUGGUGGGGUAACGGCUCACCAAGGCGACGAUCCGUAGCUGGUUUGAGAGGACGACCAGCCACACUGGGACUGAGACACGGCCCAGACUCCUACGGGAGGCAGCAGUGGGGAAUUUUGGACAAUGGGGGAAACCCUGAUCCANCCAUCCCGCGGGGGAAAANAAGGCCUUCGGGUUGUAAAGCACUUUU
rnacentral:rRNA from 1 species